ACAAACUUGGUCAUUUAGAGGAAGUAAAAGUCGUAACAAGGUUUUGAUUCUAUGGAAGCCUUGAAACAUCCAGUCUGCUUUGGACGCAGGCAACACCGAUGAUCUGCCUGGAAUUUCGAGUUUAGGCUUGAAGACCAGCAACUGUUUAAUCAGUUCACAGAUCAAGUGUCGGUGGUCCGAAUCUUCAAUGAUACGGACUCUAAUAUGAUCGGCUCUAUCUCGAAAUAGAUAGGUCCAGUGUUCCGUAGGUGAACCUGCGGAAGGAUCAUUAAAGGUUUAGGGUACUCUGUGCCCAAACUUCAACCCUAUGUCUUGUUAAACUGUUUCUUUGCCGGUUUCGACCGGCAGAAGGUUUCUCAAAACUCAUGAUCAAAAUGUUAUCUGAAUUUAAUAAAAAAAAUGAAUUAAAACUUUCAACAACGGAUCUCUUGGUUCUGGCAUCGAUGAAGAACGCAGC
rnacentral:misc_RNA from 1 species